rnacentral:rRNA from 1 species
GACGAACGCUGGCGGCGUGCCUAAUACAUGCAAGUUGAGCGCUGAAGGUUGGUACUUGUACCAACUGGAUGAGCAGCGAACGGGUGAGUAACGCGUGGGGAAUCUGCCUUUGAGCGGGGGACAACAUUUGGAAACGAAUGCUAAUACCGCAUAAAAACUUUAAACACAAGUUUUAAGUUUGAAAGAUGCAAUUGCAUCACUCAAAGAUGAUCCCGCGUUGUAUUAGCUAGUUGGUGAGGUAAAGGCUCACCAAGGCGAUGAUACAUAGCCGACCUGAGAGGGUGAUCGGCCACAGUGGGACUGAGACACGGCCCAAACUCCUACGGGAGGCAGCAGUAGGGAAUCUUCGGCAAUGGACGAAAGUCUGACCAAGCAACGCCGCGUGAGUGAAGAAGGUUUUCGGAUCGUAAAACUCUGUUGGUAGAGAAGAACGUUGGUGAGAGUGGAAAGCUCAUCAAGUGACGGUAACUACCCAGAAAGGGACGGCUAACUGCGUG